rnacentral:rRNA from 1 species
GACGAACGCUGGCGGCGUGCUUAACACAUGCAAGUCGAACGGAAAGGCCCUGCUUUUGUGGGGUGCUCGAGUGGCGAACGGGUGAGUAACACGUGAGUAACCUGCCCUUGACUUUGGUAUAACUUCAGGAAACUGGGGCUAAUACCGUAUAGGAGCUCCUGCUGCAUGGUGGGGGUUGGAAAGUUUCGGCGGGUGGGGAUGGACUCGCGGCUUAUCAGCUUGUUGGUGGGGUAGUGGCUUACCAAGGCUUUGACGGGUAGCCGGCCUGAGAGGGUGACCGGCCACAUUGGGACUGAGAUACGGCCCAGACUCCUACAGGAGGCAGCAGUGGGGAAUAUUGCACAAUGGGCGGAAGCCUGAUGCAGCAACGCCGCGUGCGGGAUGACGGCCUUCGGGUUGUAAACCGCUUUCGCCUGUGACGAAGCGUGAGUGACGGUAAUGGGUAAAGAAGCACCGGCUAACUACGUG